UACGAAGGGGGCUAGCGUUGCUCGGAAUGACUGGGCGUAAAGGGCGUGUAGGCGGGACGGUAAGUCGGGCGUGAAAUCCCUAGGCUCAACCUAGGAACUGCACUCGAAACUACCAUUCUUGAGUGUCGGAGAGGAAAGCGGAAUUCCUGGUGUAGAGGUGAAAUUCGUAGAUAUCAGGAAGAACACCCGGUGGCGAAGGCGGCUCUCUGGGACGGUACUGACGCUGAGACGCGAAAGCGUGGGGAGCGAACAGG
rnacentral:rRNA from 1 species